rnacentral:rRNA from 1 species
GAUAAACGCUGGCGGCGUGCUUUAUGCAUGCAAGUCGAACGGUCUCGAUUUAUCGAGAUAGUGGCGAAUGGGUGAGUAACACGUAAGUAACCUGCCCUUAAGUAGGGGAUAACUCCGAGAAAUUGGAGCUAAUACCGUAGUGGUGGUGGGGGUAAAGCUCCAUCACUAAAGCCUUCGGGUGCUUGGGGAGGGGCUUGCGUCCGAUUAGCUAGUUGGUGAGGUAACGGCCCACCAAGGCUGAGAUCGGUAGCUGGUUUAAGAGGACGAUCAGCCACACUGGGACUGAGACACGGCCCAGACUCCUACGGGAGGCAGCAGCAAGGAAUAUUGUGCAAUGGGCGAAAGCCUGACACAGCGACGCCGCGUGGGGGAUUAAGGCCCUUGGGUUGUAAACCCCUUUUCCCAGGGAAGAAUAAUGACGGUACCUGGGGAAUAAGUCUUGGCUAACUACGUGCCAGCAGCCGCGGUAAUACGUAGAAGGCGAGCGUUAUCCGGAUUUAUUGGGCGUAAAGAGGGCGUAGGUGGCUUUUCAAGUCGGAUGUAAAAUCUCCCGGCUUAACUGGGAGGGACCGUUCGAUACUGUUGGGCUAGAGUGCAGCAGAGGGAGAUGGAAUUCCCGGUGUAGUGGUGAAAUGCGUAGAUAUCGGGAGGAACACCAGUGGCGAAGGCGGUCUCCUGGGCUGUUACUGACACUGAGGCCCGAAGGCGUGGGGAGCGAACAGGAUUAGAUACCCUGGUAGUCCACGCAGUAAACGAUGGACACUAGGUAUAGGGAGUAUCGACCCUCUCUGUGCCGAAGCUAACGCUUUAAGUGUCCCGCCUGGGAACACGGUCGCAAGACU